rnacentral:misc_RNA from 1 species
GAAAUGCGAUACUUAAUGUGAAACGCAACGCUGUGAAUCAUCAAGGUUUCGAACGCACAUUGCGCUGUUUCAGUCUUCUGAGACAGCAUGCCUGUUUGAGCAUCGUUUCAAAACCUCAACCCAAAUCCUACCGGUUUGGCGUUGGACGUUGAGUGUCCUACUUCUCAGUCAAUCUGAACGAGUAGGUCAUUUGAAAUGGAGACCCCUUUCUGGAUGCAAGCACGUUUAAUGCUCGCUUCUUGUGCUGUGACGAGAUGACGCCUUCGGACAUCAUUUCCCCGACACUCGAAUUGCUUCUUGCAUGGUGCAUGGAUCAACUUUAUAAAGGAAAGGAUCGACCUCAUCAAUAUAUCAUCAUCGCAGUAAUGUGAUGGUGAUUACAAAAUCGCGAUCUCAAAUC